UUGAAUAGUUUAGUGGUUAGAGUAUCGAGUCUCCAACACUAAGGUGCUGGGUUCGAAUCCGUCAGUUGACAAA